AAAUUAAAAAGUAAGCUUAAAUUACCGUCCUAGAGCAAGUGGCAAAUAGUUUGGUGGUUGGUAUCCGAGACUCAAGUUCGAAUUCUAGUUGAUUCAUAUUUCCAGCUAAGUUUAUUUCUAAAUGAAAUAAACAAAGCGGAUAGCGUGCUACUUAUCUCUAAAUAAAAAUAAAAAAAAAAUUAAGGCUAAAUUAUAUAUAUAUA
rnacentral:lncRNA from 1 species